CCCUAGCCCUGAUGGUAACGGCAUCCUUUUAUUCUGGGGUUCAGAAUAAAAGAUAUAGUGCACAGCAGGAAAUGGC
rnacentral:sRNA from 1 species